rnacentral:rRNA from 1 species
UACGAACGCUGGCGGCGUGCUUAACACAUGCAAGUCGAACGAUGACGACCGAGCUUGCUCGGUCUGAUUAGUGGCGAACGGGUGAGUAACACGUGAGCAACCUGCCCUUCACUCUGGGAUAACCUCGGGAAAUCGGGGCUAAUACCGGAUAUGAGCUCCUGUCGCAUGGCGGGUGUUGGAAAGUUUUUCGGUGAAGGAUGGGCUCGCGGCCUAUCAGUUUAUUGGUGAGGUAGUGGCUCACCAAGGCGAUGACGGGUAGCCGGCCUGAGAGGGCGACCGGCCACACUGGGACUGAGACACGGCCCAGACUCCUACGGGAGGCAGCAGUGGGGAAUAUUGCACAAUGGGCGAAAGCCUGAUGCAGCGACGCCGCGUGAGGGAUGACGGCCUUCGGGUUGUAAACCUCUUUCAGCAGGGAAGAAGCGAAAGUGACGGUACCUGCAGAAGAAGCGCCGGCUAACUACGUG